rnacentral:tRNA from 1 species
GGCCGGCUAGCUCAGUUGGUUAGAGCGUGGUGCUAAUAUCACGUGACAUGUUACGCCAAGGUCGUCGGUUCGAUCCCGGCGCUGGCCA